AUGGUCGACACAGCCCACGUCAACUCGCUGCUUCGCGCCGCCGCGAGGCUGGAGCCGGAGGAGCUCAUCUUCAGCCUUUCAUCGGACUUCAUCGGUGAUUACCCAGUCGUCGAUCUGCCUUGCUUCCACCGUGCCACUUCCAUCCAGCUCGGUCUUUUCGCCGUCAUACGCGUGCCGGCCGGCGUCGAGUUCCCCGCGCUGGAGACACUGUACCUGGCGUGCAGCAUUGACGCCCUCGACUCCGGCCUACGCGUGCUCCAUCUCAGCAGCACUGAGUUGAAUGGUGACCACCUGAGGGUCAACUCGGCGUCACUGCUGGAGCUUGUCGUGGGCAGCAGAUGGACACGCAGUGUCAACGUUGUUGCCCCCGUGCUUAAGCAGUUGACCAUGUCCCUCACCGCCUCAAAGAUCAGCGUCGUCUCCGUCUUGGCGCCAUUGGUGGAGAAGGUCUCAUGGAAAUGCUGCUAUAUGAAUGGGUGUAUUACAUUUGGUCUUUGGCUGCUUGAGCAGGUGACGCUACAGACGGCAGAGAGACAAGGACAGCUCCCCAUGCUGCACAUUCGUGCCCACUGCGUGCGUCCUCUCAACUUACUGCAAGCUCUGAGUAAAUAA
rnacentral:rRNA from 1 species